rnacentral:rRNA from 1 species
CAAUAGCGUAUAUUAAAGUUGUUGCAGUUAAAAAGCUCGUAGUUGGAUUUCGGGGCAGCCUGGCUGGUCCGCCGCAAGACGAGUACUGGUCAGCCGCCCUUCCUCUCGAAAGCCCCGACUGCUCUUCGUUGCAGUGGUCGGGUAGUUCGGGACGUUUACUUUGAAAAAAUUAGAGUGUUCAAGGCAGGCCUACGCCUGAAUACAUUAGCAUGGAAUAAUGGAAGAGGACCUCGGUCCUAUUUUGUUGGUUUCCAGGGCCGAAGUAAUGAUUAAGAGGGACAGUUGGGGGCAUUCGUAUUUAAUUGUCAGAGGUGAAAUUCUCGGAUUUAUGAAAGACGAACAACUGCGAAAGCAUUUGCCAAGGAUGUUUUCAUUAA